rnacentral:rRNA from 1 species
UACGUAGGUGACCAGCGUUGUCCGGAUUUACUGGGCGUAAAGAGCGCGCAGGCGGUCGUUCAAGUCGAGUGUGAAAGCCCCCGGCUCAACUGGGGAGGGUCAUUCGAUACUGAUCGACUUGAAGGCAGGAGAGGGAAGUGGAAUUCCCGGUGUAGUGGUGAAAUGCGUAGAUAUCGGGAGGAACACCUGUGGCGAAAGCGGCUCACUGGACCACAACUGACGCUGAUGCGCGAAAGCUAGGGGAGCAAACAGG